rnacentral:misc_RNA from 1 species
GAUGAAGAACGUAGCGAAAUGCGAUAAGUAAUGUGAAUUGCAGAAUUCAGUGAAUCAUCGAAUCUUUGAACGCACAUUGCGCCCCCUGGUAUUCCGGGGGGCAUGCCUGUCCGAGCGUCAUUACAACCCUCAAGCUCAGCUUGGUGUUGGGCCCCGCCGCCCCGGCGGGCCCUAAAGUCAGUGGCGGUGCCGUCCGGCUCCGAGCGUUGUAAUUCUUCUCGCUCUGGAGGUCCGGUCGUGUGCUCGCCAGCAACCCCCAAUUUUUUUCAGGUUGACCUCGGAUCAGGUAGGGAUACCCGCUGAACUUAAGCAUAUCAAUAAGCGGAGGA